GACAGAGGGGGCAAGCGUUGCUCGGAAUUACUGGGCGUAAAGGGCGCGUAGGCGGGAUGGCAAGUCGGUCGUGAAAUCCCUCGGCUCAACUGAGGAGCGUCGAUCGAAACUGCCGUUCUUGAGGGUUGCAGAGGAGACUGGAAUUCCCGGUGUAGCGGUGAAAUGUGUAGAGAUCGGGAGGAACACCGGUGGCGAAGGCGGGUCUCUGGGCAACUCCUGACGCUGAGGCGCGAAAGCCAGGGGAGCAAACGGG
rnacentral:rRNA from 1 species